CGCGGGGUAGAGCAGACUGGUAGCUCAUCGGGCUCAUAACCCGAAGGUCGCAGGUUCGAAUCCUGCCCCCGCUACUA
rnacentral:tRNA from 1 species